AGAGUUUGAUCCUGGCUCAGGAUGAACGCUGGCGGCGUGCUUAACACAUGCAAGUCGAACGAAGCACUCUACUUGAUUUCCUUCGGGAAUGAUUGUUUUGUGACUGAGUGGCGGACGGGUGAGUAACGCGUGGGUAACCUGCCUCAUACAGGGGGAUAACAGUUGGAAACGACUGCUAAUACCGCAUAAGCGCACAGCUUCGCAUGAAGUGGUGUGAAAAACUCCGGUGGUAUGAGAUGGACCCGCGUUGGAUUAGCUAGUUGGCGGGGCAACGGCCCACCAAGGCGACGAUCCAUAGCCGACCUGAGAGGGUGACCGGCCACAUUGGGACUGAGACACGGCCCAAACUCCUACGGGAGGCAGCAGUGGGGAAUAUUGCACAAUGGGCGAAAGCCUGAUGCAGCGACGCCGCGUGAACGAAGAAGUAUUUCGGUAUGUAAAGUUCUAUCAGCAGGGAAGAAGAAUGACGGUACCUGACUAAGAAGCACCGGCUAAAUACGUGCCAGCAGCCGCGGUAAUACGUAUGGUGCAAGCGUUUAUCCGGAUUACUGGGUGUAAAGGGAGCGCAGGCGGCGCGGCAAGUCUGAUGUGAAAGCCGGGGCUCAACCCGGUACUGCAUUGGAAACUGUCGUGCUAGAGUGUCGGACGGGUAAGCGGAAUCCUAGUGUAGCGGUGAAAUGCGUAGAUAUAGGGAGGAACACCAGUGGCGAAGACGGCUUACUAGGACGAUAACUGACGCUGAGGCUCGAAAGCGUGGUGAGCAAACAGGAUUAGAUACCCUGGUAGUCCACGCCGUANACGAUGAAUACUAGGUGUUGGGGAACAUGGUUCCCCGGUGCCGUCGCAAACGCAGUAAGUAUUCCACCUGGGGAGUACGUUCGCAAGAAUGAAACUCAAAGGAAUUGACGGGGACCCGCACAAGCGGUGGAGCAUGUGGUUUAAUUCGAAGCAACGCGAAGAACCUUACCAAGUCUUGACAUCCUUCUGACCGCCCUUUAACAGGGGCUUCUCUUCGGAGCAGGAGUGACAGGUGGUGCAUGGUUGUCGUCAGCUCGUGUCGUGAGAUGUUGGGUUAAGUCCCGCAACGAGCGCAACCCCUAUCUUUAGUAGCCAGCAUUUCGGAUGGGCACUCUAGGGAGACUGCCAGGGAUAACCUGGAGGAAGGCGGGGAUGACGUCAAAUCAUCAUGCCCCUUAUGACUUGGGCUACACACGUGCUACAAUGGCGUAAACAAAGGGAAGCAGAGCCGUGAGGCCGAGCAAAUCUCAAAAAUAACGUCUCAGUUCGGAUUGUAGUCUGCAACUCGACUACAUGAAGCUGGAAUCGCUAGUAAUCGCAAAUCAGAAUGUUGCGGUGAAUACGUUCACCGGGUCAUUGUACACACGCGCGCACGUNCAAGGGGCGGAAUUUCGAUUUAAACCAAAGUCAGCGANCUGAGUCCCCAUUUAAGUUGAGCGCUAAUUCUGAGUCUAGCAUUCUGCAA
rnacentral:rRNA from 1 species